AAAAUAGAGACUCAUCUUUCUGAAAAAUAAUUUAUUUUAGAACCCCCCCAUACAUGUCAGAUGCACUCAGUGACCUCAUAACAGCACCAGUUACAUUUACCCCAUAAUAACCACAGUGCCUCCAUAAUUACCAACCUGUCAGCCAAAUUGACCUUAUAUUUGUAGUUCCGUGUUAGCCAGAGCGCUCCCAUAAGUGCAGCCACAGCAACUACAGUGACCACAUAAAUAGCAGCCAUAGUGUCCCUAUACAUGACAGUCACAAUGCCCCGACGUAUGGGUCACAGGGUUCCCAUAAGUUCACGCUUUGAUCGGUCAUGAGAGGGGAUCGGUUUAAAGUAAUCGCCUCAAACUCUAAUGUACUUUCUAUAAAUCACAUGAUUGCUAUGGAGCCCGUGAUCCUGUACCCACUACAAGGAGGAGUUCACUGUAUACAGAUUUCUAUAGCAUUGAGUACACUACUAGUAGUGGUGGCUGGAUAAAUCUAUAUGUAGUGUGUACAGCUCCCUCUAAUGGUGACUGUACACAAUUGUAUCUAGUGAGCUCCCCCUAGUGGUGACUGUACACAAUUGUAUCUAGUGAGCUCCCCCUAGUGGUGACUGUACACAAUUGUAUCUAGUGAGCUCCCCCUAGUGGUGACUGUACACAAUCGUAUCUAGUGAGAUCCCCCUAGUGGUGACUGUACACAAUCGUAUCUAGUGAGCUCCCCCUAGUGGUGACUGUACACAAUCAUAUCUAGUGAGCUCCCCCUAGUGGUGACUGUACACAAUCGUAUAUAGUGAGCUCCCCCUAGUGGUGACUGUACACAAUCGUAUCUAGUUAGAUCCCCCUAGUGGUGACUGUACACAAUCAUAUCUAAUGAGAUCCCCUAGAGGUGACUGUACACAAUCAUAUCUAGUGAGAUCCCCUAGUGGUGACUGUACACAAUCAUAUCUAGUGAGAUCCCCUAGUGGUGACUGUACACAAUCGUAUCUAGUGAGCUCCCCCUAGUGGUGACUGUACACAAUCGUAUAUAGUGAGCUCCCCCUAGUGGUGACUGUACACAAUCGUAUCUAGUGAGCUCCCCCUAGUGGUGACUGUACACAAUCGUAUCUA